rnacentral:tRNA from 2 species
GCUGGCGUAGCUCAGUUGGUAGAGCAUCUGAUUUGUAAUCAGAGGGUCGGGGGUUCAAAUCCCUCCGCCAGCU